AUGGCGUUCGCAAUGGCGAGGCGUCUGGGAGUCGUGCUGGCUUUAGCGGCUGUCGUCCUUCUCGCCGCCGCGGGGGCCGCCACCGCUCAAUCCAAGCCACGGCCACCCAAUGCCAAUGGCCCGAAGCCGAAGCCGAAUCCGAUAAGCGUCAAGUGCAGUGAGAGUCCCAGGGUGAACCCCUACUGCUCUAACCAGAGGAUGGACUGCCCCGCCAACUGCCCCCAGUCCUGCUACGCCGACUGCAAAUCAUGCAAACCCGUCUGCGUGUGCAACACCCCGGGGGCGUGCGGCGACCCGCGGUUCAUAGGCGGUGACGGCAACGCCUUCUACUUCCACGGACGCAGGGACGCCGACUUCUGCGUCGUCUCCGACCGUGACCUUCACAUCAACGCACACUUCAUCGGCAAGAGCGGCCACAGCGGCAUGUCCCGGGACUUCACCUGGAUCCAGGCCAUCGCCGUGCUCUUCGACGGCCACCGCCUCUACCUCGGCGCCAGGAAGACCGGCACCUGGGACGACGCUGUCGAGCAUCUAGAGAUCAUCCUGGACGGCGAGCCCGUGUACCUCCCCGCCGACCUGGUCGAAGGCGCCAAGUGGACCUCCAGCCGCGUCCCCGAGCUGUCUGUGACCCGCACCAAGGGGGCCAAUGGCGUGCUCGUCGCCCUCCACGGAAAGUUCAGCGUCAGGGCCAACGCCGUGCCCAUCACCGAGGAGGAUUCGAGGGUGCACCGUUACGGCGUCACCGCCGACGACUGCCUCGCGCACCUCGAGCUGGCGUUCAAGUUCGACGCGCUCACCGACGACGUCCACGGUGUGAUCGGACAGACGUACCGCUCCGACUACGUCAACCAUUUCGACGUGAGGGCCUCCAUGCCCACCAUGGGAGGAGAUGCCACCUUCACCACCUCCAGCCUGUUCGCCGCCGACUGCAGCGUGGCGCGCUAUGGAGUCAGCCGUGGAAACGACGGUGCCGCGGUGCUAUCUGAGCUCUCUGCUGUCACCUGUGCCAGUGGCAUGGACGGCAAGGGUGUCGUGUGCAAGAAGUAA
rnacentral:rRNA from 1 species